AUUGAACGCUGGCGGCAUGCUUUACACAUGCAUGUCGAACGGCAGCGCGGGCUUCGGUUUGGCGGAGAGUGGCGAACGGGUGAGUAAUGCAUCGGAACGUGCCCAGUAGCGGGGGAUAGGCCGGCGAAAGCCGGAUUAAUACCGCAUACGACCUGAGGGCGAAAGCGGGGGACCGAAAGGCCUCGCGCUAUUGGAGCGGCCGAUGUCGGAUUAGCUAGUUGGUGGGGUAAAGGCUUACCAAGGCGACGAUCCGUAGCUGGUCUGAGAGGACGACCAGCCACACUGGAACUGAGACACGGCCCAGACUCCUACGGGAGGCAGCAGUGGGGAAUUUUGGACAAUGGGGGCAACCCUGAUCCAGCCAUGCCGCGUGCGUGAAGAAGGCCUUCGGGUUGUAAACCGCUUUUGUUCGGGAAGAAAUCCUCUGGGCUAAUACCCCGGGGGGAUGACGGUACCGGAAGAAUAAGCACCGGCUAACUACGUG
rnacentral:rRNA from 1 species